rnacentral:lncRNA from 1 species
AUCGGCAAAUGGUAAGUCAAAUUCAAUGUUUAAAGACAACGUUUCUCUCGAGAAGUUAUUCUCUAAAUACAACUUGUUAUGGAACUAACAAGCCCACAUUAUACGGAAAUAGUCUGGUUAUUACUUAGUCUGGUAAAUGGUUUCGGUACAUGUAUAUUUAAAUCGCUUGGAAUUAGCGUGUGUUACUUGCCCAGGGUAAAGUCGUACUGAACCUUAUCCUUUCUCUCUACCGUAUUUAUACUUUGGUAAACCAUUACCAAAAUGGUUUACCAUUUACCAUUUCGGCUUACCAUUUACCUAAAUUACCAAACCCAGAGCCGACGUCAU